rnacentral:sRNA from 1 species
UCUGCAACCCGACUUGAGUGGAAAUCCUUUUUGUGAGCUUACAAAAAGAUUGGGAACGGAAGGCGGAAGAGUUG